rnacentral:rRNA from 1 species
CCUACGGGUGGCUGCAGUGGGGAAUAUUGGACAAUGCGCGAAAGCCUGAUCCAGCCAUGCCGCGUGUGUGAAGAAGGCCUUCGGGUUGUAAAGCACUUUCAGUGGGGAAGAAAGCCUUGGGGCUAAUACCCUCGAGGAAGGACAUCACCCACAGAAGAAGCACCGGCUAACUCCGUGCCAGCAGCCGCGGUAAUACGGAGGGUGCGAGCGUUAAUCGGAAUUACUGGGCGUAAAGCGCGCGUAGGCGGUCUGAUAAGCCGGUUGUGAAAGCCCCGGGCUCAACCUGGGAACGGCAUCCGGAACUGUCAGGCUAGAGUGCAGGAGAGGAAGGUAGAAUUCCCGGUGUAGCGGUGAAAUGCGUAGAGAUCGGGAGGAAUACCAGUGGCGAAGGCGGCCUUCUGGACUGACACUGACGCUGAGGUGCGAAAGCGUGGGUAGCAAACAGGAUUAGAUACCCCGGUAGUC